UACGUAGGCAGCAAGCGUUGUUCGGAAUUACUGGGCGUAAAGAGUGUGUAGGCGGUGUUCUAAGUCUGUUGUGAAAUCUCCCGGCUUAACUGGGAGGGUGCGGCGGAAACUAGAGUGCUCGAGUGUGGGAGAGGUAAGCGGAAUUCCUGGUGUAGCGGUGAAAUGCGUAGAUAUCAGGAGGAACACCUGUGGUGUAGACAGCUUACUGGACCACGACUGACGCUGAGGCACGAAAGCUAGGGGAGCGAACGGG
rnacentral:rRNA from 1 species